rnacentral:rRNA from 1 species
AUACGUAGGGAGCGAGCGUUGUCCGGAAUUACUGGGCGUAAAGGGUGCGUAGGCGGGACGGCAAGUCAGAUGUGAAAUACCGGGGCUCAACCCCGGGGCUGCAUUUGAAACUGUCGUUCUUGAGUGAGGUAGAGGUAAGCGGAAUUCCUAGUGUAGCGGUGAAAUGCGUAGAUAUUGGGAGGAACAUCGGUGGCGAAGGCGGCUUACUGGGCCUUUUCUGACGCUGAGGCACGAAAGCGUGGGGAGCAAACAGGAUUAGAUACCCUGGUAGUCCACGCUGUAAACGAUGAUGACUAGGUGUGGGGGGACUGAACCCUUCCGUGCCGCAGUUAACACAAUAAGUCAUCCACCUGGGGAGUACGGCCGCAAGGUUGAAACUCAAAUGAAUUGACGGGG